UACGGGGGGGGCAAGCGUUGUUCGGAAUUACUGGGCGUAAAGGGCUCGUAGGCGGCCAACUAAGUCCGAUGUGAAAGCCCCGGGCUCAACCUGGGAAUGGCAUUGGAAACUGGCGGACUCGAGUGUGGCAGAGGGGGGUGGAAUUCCGCGUGUAGCAGUGAAAUGCGUAGAGAUGCGGAGGAACACCGAUGGCGAAGGCAGCCCCCUGGGCUAACACUGACGCUCAGGCACGAAAGCGUGGGGAGCAAACAGG
rnacentral:rRNA from 1 species